UAGCAGCCAAAGACGGCGCACAGCAGG
rnacentral:piRNA from 1 species